UACGAAGGGUGCAAGCGUUAAUCGGAAUUACUGGGCGUAAAGCGCGCGUAGGUGGUUCGUUAAGUUAGGAGUGAAAGCCCCGGGCUCAACCUGGGAAUUGCUUCUAAAACUGGCGAGCUAGAGUAUGGUAGAGGGUGGUGGAAUUUCCUGUGUAGCGGUGAAAUGCGUAGAUAUAGGAAGGAACAUCAGUGGCGAAGGCGACCACCUGGACUGAUACUGACACUGAGGUGCGAAAGCGUGGGGAGCAAACAGGAUUAGAUACCCCUGUAGUCCCUGA
rnacentral:rRNA from 1 species